rnacentral:rRNA from 1 species
GAUGAACGCUGGCGGCGUGCCUAAUACAUGCAAGUCGAGCGAACGGACGAGAAGCUUGCUUCUCUGAUGUUAGCGGCGGACGGGUGAGUAACACGUGGAUAACCUACCUAUAAGACUGGGAUAACUUCGGGAAACCGGAGCUAAUACCGGAUAAUAUUUUGAACCGCAUGGUUCAAAAGUGAAAGACGGUCCUGCUGUCACUUAUAGAUGGAUCCGCGCUGCAUUAGCUAGUUGGUAAGGUAACGGCUUACCAAGGCAACGAUGCAUAGCCGACCUGAGAGGGUGAUCGGCCACACUGGAACUGAGACACAGUCCAGACUCCUACGGGAGGCAGCAGUAGGGAAUCUUCCGCAAUGGGCGAAAGCCUGACGGAGCAACGCCGCGUGAGUGAUGAAGGUCUUCGGAUCGUAAAACUCUGUUAUUAGGGAAGAACAUAUGUGUAAGUAACUGUGCACAUCUUGACGGUACCUAAUCAGAAAGCCACGGCUAACUACGUG